rnacentral:rRNA from 1 species
CACGUAGUUAGCCGGGGCUUUCUUCUCAGGUACCGUCACUCCGGGUGCAGUUACUCACCCGGACGUUCUUCCCUGGCAACAGAGCUUUACGAUCCGAAAACCUUCAUCACUCACGCGGCAUUGCUCCAUCAGGCUUUCGCCCAUUGUGGAAGAUUCCCUACUGCUGCCUCCCGUAGGAGUCUGGGCCGUGUCUCAGUCCCAGUGUGGCCGUUCACCCUCUCAGGUCGGCUACGCAUCGUCGCCUUGGUGAGCCGUUACCCCACCAACUAGCUAAUGCGCCGCAGGCCCAUCUCUCAGUGACAGCUUGCGCCGUCUUUCCUCAUCUCUCCAUGCGGAGAAACGAUGUAUCCGGUAUUAGCAUCCGUUUCCGGAAGUUAUCCCAGACUGAAAGGCAGGUUGCCUACGUGUUACUCACCCGUCCGCCGCUAACCGUCAGAGAAGCAAGCUUCUCUUCAAGUCCGCUCGACUUGCAUGUAUUAGGCAUGCCGCC